CCCUGGAAGACUAGUGGUUAGUUCACAGCGCUUUAACUAUUGCGGCCCGGGUUCGAUUCCCAGCCUCUGGGGU